rnacentral:misc_RNA from 1 species
GUAGGUGAACCUGCGGAAGGAUCAUUACUGGUCUGUCAGAAUUUUUUUUAAUUAAAAAAUCUGGCUAUCAUGAUCAAUCACUGUGUGCACAAUAUUGAAGUAUUGAUUUUGGCAGACAAGAUGGGAGAGAGAAAGAAUUUAUUUUAUUUUAUUUUUUUUUACCCAAGUCUGCCAAAAGUUUUUCUUUAUAGCCUGAUGAUUUGAC